rnacentral:rRNA from 1 species
UACAGAGACUGCAAGCGUUAUUCGGAUUCACUGGGCGUAAAGGGUGCGCAGGUGGCCAGGUGUGUGAGGCGUGAAAGCCCGGGGCUUAACCCCGGAAUUGCACCUCAAACUACUUGGCUAGAGCAUUGGAGAGGGGAGCAGAAUUCAUGGUGUAGCAGUGAAAUGCGUAGAUAUCGGGAAGAACACCCGUGGCGAAGGCGGCACUCUGGGACGGUACUGGACGCUGAGACGCGAAAGCGUGGGGAGCGAACAGG